CGGUUCUCGUCCGAUCACCGAAGUUAAGCUCAGUAGGGCGCGGUAAGUACUUGGAUGGGUGACCGCUUCGGAAUACCUUGUGCUGUAGGCA
rnacentral:rRNA from 1 species